GACGAACCGUGCGAACGUUAUUCGGAAUCAUUGGGCUUAAAGGGUGCGUAGGCGGGCUCGUGAGUCAGGGGUGAAAUCCCACGGCCCAACCGUGGAAGUGCCUCUGAUACUGCGGGCCUGGAGGGGGAUAGGGGCGUGCGGAACUUCCGGUGGAGCGGUGAAAUGCGUAGAUAUCGGAAGGAACACCGGUGGCGAAAGCGGCGCGCUGGAUCCCUACUGACGCUGAGGCACGAAAGCCAGGGGAGCAAACGGG
rnacentral:rRNA from 1 species